rnacentral:rRNA from 1 species
UACGUAGGGGGCGAGCGUUGUCCGGAUUUAUUGGGCGUAAAGAGCUCGUAGGCGGCUUGUCGCGUCGUCCGUGAAAACCCACAGCUCAACUGUGGGCUUGCGGUCGAUACGGGCAGGCUAGAGUUCGGUAGGGGAGACUGGAAUUCCUGGUGUAGCGGUGAAAUGCGCAGAUAUCAGGAGGAACACCGGUGGCGAAGGCGGGUCUCUGGGCCGAUACUGACGCUGAGGAGCGAAAGCGUGGGGAGCGAACAGG